UCAGAUUAGGUAAGACAACCCGCUGAAUUUAAGCAUAUAAGUAAGCGGUGGAAAAUGAACCAAAUGGGAUUCCUUAAGUAAUUGCGAAUGAAAAAGGAUAUGCUCAGCUUGAAAAUUGAAGCUUCUGGUUUUGAAUUGUAGUUUUGAAAUGUAUUGCCGAUGGAGGUGCAGGUGUAAGCCUGUUGGAAAACAGUGUCAGUGAGGGUGAGGUGCCUUUUUGUCAUUUGCAGUCCUCCAAGCACGGUAUAUAUUUGACGAGUCACACUCCUUGGCAUUGGAAUGCAAAGUGGGUGGUAAAUUCCAUGAAAAGGGAAAUACAUUUUUGAGACUGAUAGCAAACAAGUACCAUGAGGGAAAUAUGAAAAGGACUUUGAAAAGAGAAUUAAAAGAGUCUGCAUUUGCUGAACAGAAAGCAAACAGAAUGAAUUCUGCUUGGUUAGAUUAUUGUGCCGUCUGCUUUGUUUAUUUGUGUUGCAUCAGGGUGCAAUGGUUCUUUCCUUGAAUGCCAGCUUUAUU
rnacentral:rRNA from 14 species